CCCUUAGAUGUUCUGGGCUGCACGCGCGCUACAAUGUCAUGAAAACCGGGAUGCUUUAACGAAAUUUAUUGCGAAACCCCAACUCAUGACGCGACUGGGAUUGGCGUUUUUAAUUAUUCGUCAUGAACGAGGAAUUCCUAGUAAACGCGAAUCAUCAGUUCGUGUUGAUUAUGUCCCUGCCCUUUGUACACACCGCCCGUCGCUCCUACCGAUUGAGCGUUUUGGUGAGCACUCUGGAGUGCAGCAAUGCAUAAAUGAAUGCAAACCUGAGCGUUUAGAGGAAGGAUAAGUCGUAACA
rnacentral:rRNA from 1 species